UAAAUAACAGCAGAGCCGGGGGGGAGCAGGUGCUGCAUGUCCCUGUAGUGUGUGUUUAUGUGUGCACGUUUGGUUUAGACAAUGAGAGUGAAAGUGCACUUGCUUCUUUGGUCUUCAGGUAGCAGCCCUGUGGAAAAGCAUCAAGGAGGGAAUGGGAAAGAGCUUUGUGUGAUGUUUUUGUUUGUUUGUUUGUUUGUUUGUUUUCCCCUUUCCUUGGAGAUUUUGGAUUGAUUAAAAAGCUAUUUUUGCUGGGAAAACAAGAAGAAAGAAAACAGAUCUAUGUGCAUGCCCCAGCCUUCCUUCAAACAAGCACUCGGUGUAGCAGAAAGUCCAAGAAAAGGCUUACUCCCAGGAGGAUCAAGAAGAAAGCAACGGUGAAGAAAGGACCGAUAGCAGCAUGGAGAAUACAGAAAGCAGAUAAAGAGGGAAAGGAGGAGGUGGAGGUGAGCAGAAGGCAGCUCAGAAAAUUGCACAAGCUAUGGGGAGUUUUUCCAUCGAGACGUUUGUGCAUCUCAAAGGGAGUGACUCUGCCAUCUGCAUCUCCUCUGAAAAAAAAAAAAAAAAAAAGAAAA